UAAUAUUUGCAACAAACUCAUCGGAGAAAUCGGGAUGUCAAUCCUUUGUGUAUUCCGUAUGUUUUGACAAAUAUUUAAAACCCUUGAACCGUCAAUCGCUUUUCACAAAUCUUUCUCUCAAACAUGUUGCUUCCGUGCUAAGAAGUUCCGGCGGAAACCUUACCCCCUACGUGCACCUUUGCCAGUCGUCUGCAACUGUCGAUGUCACCACCAUCGUCAAUCCAAACCAGUCAGAGCCACGCUACGGGUACCAGUUGCCUCACUCCGCCGUGACCGCCUCGCCGCACAACCACCGGGAUCCCCGCCACACCUAGUUCGAAGCUUGUGAUUAGCGUCUCCGACUCACGAACUACGACCAUCUCUAUUCAUUGUCUGCUAUAAUCACACGCCGUCGCACCCCCGCCGUCUGCCGCCAUUGGUUUAGUCGCCUGAGAUCUCCGAUUCACGAACAGCCACCACACCCCUCACGUUCGAUCGAUCGCGACCGUUAUAGUAGCUUCUUUCUCGUCUCUCUGUGACGCAGCCACCAUCGUCGCCACUUGAAACCGAUCCGACUCACCGAAGUCCUGCACAAUCUUUGAUUCAGUUCCGUCGAUACCGAUCCUAGUCUGAUACGCGGUAUUUAUAUUCAUCUAUUGUCUUUCUGCUCUUGUAUAUAGUCAAAGAAGAAAUAUGGGUGUGAAUAAUCUUUAUGCAUAGUGUAUAUGUUGAAGAAGAUAGAGUAAAUAUGAGUAAAAUGUUAUAUA